GACGAACGCUGGCGGCGUGCUUAACACAUGCAAGUCGAACGAGAAUCUACUGAAAGAGUUUUCGGACAAUGGAUGUAGAGGAAAGUGGCGGACGGGUGAGUAACGCGUGAGGAACCUGCCUUGAAGAGGGGGACAACAGUUGGAAACGACUGCUAAUACCGCAUGAAGCAUAGGGGUCGCAUGAUCUGGUGUGAAAAAACUCCGGUGGUAUAAGAUGGACCCGCGUCUGAUUAGCUGGUUGGUGAGGUAACGGCCCACCAAGGCGACGAUCAGUAGCCGACCUGAGAGGGUNACCGGCCACAUUGGGACUGAGACACGGCCCAAAAUCCUACGGGAGGCAGCAGUGGGGAAAUAUUGCACAAAUGGGGGAAACCCGUGAUGCAGCGACGCCGCGUGAGUGAAGAAAGGUUUUCGGUAGUUGUAAAC
rnacentral:rRNA from 1 species